CACCUGUAGAGUCCAACAGAACAACACCCACCAGACCAGAGAGGCUCACAUACAUGUUCCAGAUGUUUUUUUCUCGUGUAGUUCUGCUGUUCCUAUCAACACUGGUUUGGCUGUUAGCUUAGCUGUUAGCAUCAUGGUUAUUUUAGCAGGUGUCUUCUUCGUGUGGAGACAAAAUAGAACCAAAACCAAGAAAAGAUCCAGAGAUGAAGCUGAAACAGGAGAAAAGCUCCUGAC